rnacentral:rRNA from 1 species
AGUGAACGCUGGCGGCAGGCCUAAUACAUGCAAGUCGAACGGCAGCACAGCAGAGCUUGCUCUGUGGGUGGCGAGUGGCGGACGGGUGAGGAAUACAUGGGAAUCUGCCCAGUCGUGGGGGAUAACGUAUGGAAACGUACGCUAAUACCGCAUGCGCCCUACGGGGGAAAGUCGGGGACCGCAAGGCCUGACGCGAUUGGAUGAGCCCAUGUUCGAUUAGCUAGUUGGCGGGGUAAAGGCCCACCAAGGCGACGAUCGAUAGCUGGUCUGAGAGGAUGAUCAGCCACACUGGAACUGAGACACGGUCCAGACUCCUACGGGAGGCAGCAGUAGGGAAUAUUGGACAAUGGGGGCAACCCUGAUCCAGCCAUGCCGCGUGAGUGAAGAAGGCCCUCGGGUUGUAAAGCUCUUUUGUCCGGAAAGAAAAGCAAUCGGUUAAUACCCGGUUGUUCUGACGGUACCGGAAGAUAAGCACCGGCUAACUUCGUGCC